rnacentral:miRNA from 1 species
UCAUGAGCUGCAACCUCAUCACUGGAAUAUUCCAGUGAUUGGACAAGCUGAGGAA